AAACAGGAAGUUGCGUUUUAGUCGGGAGGAAGUAGAGAGGAGACAUUACUGGAACUGGCAGCAGAGAAGGAUCAUAAAGUAGAAAAAAUCUGGAGAUCCAUUACCACCCAGCAGCCGUCUUCCCAGGACAUCACCCAUCACAGUGCCCCCACCUCACUGCCUGACAACAGAGGGAACCAGUGCCAAGAAGAUCCUAGAAGUCACCAACAAGAUCACUGAGGUGUUGACAGGAGAGGUUCCUAUAAGGUGUCAGGAUGUCAUUGUCUAUUUCUCCAUG